rnacentral:rRNA from 1 species
UACGUAGGGUGCAAGCGUUAAUCGGAAUUACUGGGCGUAAAGCGUGCGCAGGCGGUUGUGUAAGUCAGAUGGGAAAUCCCCGGGCUUAACCUGGGAACUGCAUUUGUGACUGCACGGCUAGAGUGUGUCAGAGGGGGGUAGAAUUCCACGUGUAGCAGUGAAAUGCGUAGAUAUGUGGAGGAAUACCGAUGGCGAAGGCAGCCCCCUGGGAUAACACUGACGCUCAUGCACGAAAGCGUGGGGAGCAAACAGG